rnacentral:rRNA from 1 species
UACGAAGGAUUCGAGCGUUAUCCGGAUUUAUUGGGUUUAAAGGGUGCGUAGGUGGACUAAUAAGUCAGUGGUGAAAGCCCGCAGCUUAACUGCGGAACUGCCAUUGAUACUGUUAGUCUUGAGUACAGUUGAGGUGGGCGGAAUGUGUCAUGUAGCGGUGAAAUGCUUAGAUAUGACACAGAACACCGAUUGCGAAGGCAGCUCACUAAGCUGUAACUGACACUGAGGCACGAAAGCGUGGGGAGCGAACAGG